rnacentral:rRNA from 1 species
GACGAACGCUGGCGGCGUGCCUAAUACAUGCAAGUCGAGCGGAAUGAUGAAGAAGCUUGCUUCUUCUGAUUUUAGCGGCGGACGGGUGAGUAACACGUGGGCAACCUACCUUGUAGAUUGGGAUAACUCCGGGAAACCGGGGCUAAUACCGAAUAAUCCAUUUUGCUUCAUGGCGAGAUGUUGAAAGACGGUUUCGGCUGUCACUACAAGAUGGGCCCGCGGCGCAUUAGCUAGUUGGUAGGGUAAUGGCCUACCAAGGCGACGAUGCGUAGCCGACCUGAGAGGGUGAUCGGCCACACUGGGACUGAGACACGGCCCAGACUCCUACGGGAGGCAGCAGUAGGGAAUCUUCCAUAAUGGACGAAAGUCUGAUGGAGCAACGCCGCGUGAGUGAAGAAGGUUUUCGGAUCGUAAAACUCUGUUGUAAGGGAAGAACACGUACGAGAGUAACUGCUCGUACCUUGACGGUACCUUAUUAGAAAGCCACGGCUAACUACGUG